AAAGUGGCAUACAACAACCACCAACAAGCUCUUGGUCCCUUGUUCGAUCCCCUCUCUAAUAUUUUUCGUUUUUUUCUUCCCAAAAUGAAUUAAAAACUUUUUUUAAUUUAAAUUAUUAAAAAUAAAAUUAUUUAUUUCAUUGAAAGUCUUAAAACAAAACAAAAAAAGUAAACUACUCCUUCCUUCACGUUCCCCAAUAUUAAUUCCAAAUUCUCUUGUGAAAUCAAACAAAUUAACCCAUCUCCUCUUUGAAUCUGAUCACCUACCCAUUUGUGCAAACCAUCAAUCGCUGACCAUUGAUUCCUCCCUAAAAGCCCAUUGAUUACCUCUUUGAAUCUUUCUCAUCGAUUGCUUUUAUAUGGUUGGUUGGUUCAUGACUGGUUUCCCCCAAACCCAUCGAUUCAACCGUCAAACCCCUCAAACCCAUCUUCUCUGAUUGAUUCCCUAUGCUCAUCACUUCUCACGCUAAUCUCAGUGUCUCUGGCCACCGCCGUCAAGCCAUCGUCGUUGUUAUUGGUUCCAUUCCCUCGUCGAAGCCUCCUCUUAUCAGUUGGAAAUCACAAACCGCAAUCUCCUGUCCUGUUGUUGAAGAGGACAAAGUCGUAUCUUAAUUCUUAGGUGGAGAAAGUUAACUGUAUUUGGAAAUGAAUAAUGAUUCGCUUGCUUGUUUUGGAUAACAAUGUUGAGACGACCAAGAAGAUUUAUCAAGUCUGCAUGCUACCAUAGAAGAUUUUUGAUCUUUAUGUUAACUAAUUAGUUGUAACUUAGAGAUAUCCAUGUUACCAUAUUAGUGGCUAUACAUUUCUGACUUUUAUGCUAUAUAUACAUAAUUUUUUUGUGAUG